AUACGGAGGGUACAAGCGUUACUCGGAAUCACUGGGCGUAAAGCGCGCGCAGGCGGCUUGAUAAGUUGGAUGUGAAAGCCUACGGCUCAACCGUAGAACUGCAUCCAAAACUGUCAGGCUAGAGUGUGGGAGAGGAAGAUGGAAUUAGUUGUGUAGGGGUAAAAUCCGUAGAGAUAACUAGGGAUACCAAAAGCGAAGGCAAUCUUCUGGAACACUACUGACGCUGAGGCGCGAAGGCGUGGGGAGCAAACAGAAUUAGAAACCCCGGUAGUCC
rnacentral:rRNA from 1 species